GAUGAACGCUGGCGGCGUGCCUAAUACAUGCAAGUCGAGCGAACGGACGAGAAGCUUGCUUCUCUGAUGUUAGCGGCGGACGGGUGAGUAAGACGUGGAUAACCUACCUAUAAGACUGGGAUAACUUCGGGAAACCGGAGCUAAUACCGGAUAAUAUUUUGAACCGCAUGGUUCAGAAGUGAAAGACGGUCUUGCUGUCACUUAUAGAUGGAUCCGCGCUGCAUUAGCUAGUUGGUAAGGUAACGGCUUACCAAGGCAACGAUGCAUAGCCGACCUGAGAGGGUGAUCGGCCACACUGGAACUGAGACACGGUCCAGACUCCUACGGGAGGCAGCAGUAGGGAAUCUUCCGCAAUGGGCGAAAGCCUGACGGAGCAACGCCGCGUGAGUGAUGAAGGUCUUCGGAUCGUAAAACUCUGUUAUUAGGGAAGAACAUAUGUGUAAGUAACUGUGCACAUCUUGACGGUACCUAAUCAGAAAGCCACGGCUAACUACGUG
rnacentral:rRNA from 1 species